UGGGGAAUAUUGGACAAUGGGCGAAAGCCUGAUCCAGCAAUGCCGCGUGAGUGAUGAAGGCCUUAGGGUUGUAAAGCUCUUUUACCCGGGAUGAUAAUGACAGUACCGGGAGAAUAAGCUCCGGCUAACUCCGUGCCAGCAGCCGCGGUAAUACGGAGGGAGCUAGCGUUGUUCGGAAUUACUGGGCGUAAAGCGCACGUAGGCGGCUUUGUAAGUUAGAGGUGAAAGCCUGGAGCUCAACUCCAGAAUUGCCUUUAAGACUGCAUCGCUCGAAUCCAGGAGAGGUGAGUGGAAUUCCGAGUGUAGAGGUGAAAUUCGUAGAUAUUCGGAAGAACACCAGUGGCGAAGGCGGCUCACUGGACUGGUAUUGACGCUGAGGUGCAAAAAGCGUGGGGAGCAAACAGGAUUAGAUACCCUGGUAGUCCACGCCGUAAACGAUGAUAACUAGCUGUCCGGGGGACUUGGUCCUUGGGUGGCGCAGCUAACGCAUUAAGUUAUCCGCCUGGGGAGUACGGCCGCAAGGUUAAAACUUAAAGGAAUUGACGGGGUCAUAGCUGUUUCCU
rnacentral:rRNA from 1 species